GGCAGUUUAGCUCAGCAGUAGAGCAGGUCCAUGUAUAUUGGCUGUGGUGUGGGUUCAACUCCUGCAUCUGCAA
rnacentral:tRNA from 1 species